rnacentral:rRNA from 1 species
AGUGAACGCUGGCGGUAGGCCUAACACAUGCAAGUCGAACGGCCGCACAGUAAGAGCUUGCUCUUACGGGUGGCGAGUGGCGGACGGGUGAGGAAUACAUCGGAAUCUACUUUUUCGUGGGGGAUAACGUAGGGAAACUUACGCUAAUACCGCAUACGACCUACGGGUGGAAGCAGUGGAUCUUCGGACCUUGCGCGAUUGAAUGAGCCGAUGUCGGAUUAGCUAGUUGGCGGGGUAAAGGCCCACCAAGGCGACGAUCCGUAGCUGGUCUGAGAGGAUGAUCAGCCACACUGGAACUGAGACACGGUCCAGACUCCUACGGGAGGCAGCAGUGGGGAAUAUUGGACAAUGGGCGCAAGCCUGAUCCAGCCAUACCGCGUGGGUGAAGAAGGCCUUCGGGUUGUAAAGCCCUUUUGUUGGGAAAGAAAAGCAGCAGGUUAAUACCCCGCUGUUCUGACGGUACCCAAAGAAUAAGCAACGGCUAACUUCGUG